rnacentral:rRNA from 1 species
AUUGAACGCUGGCGGCAGGCUUAACACAUGCAAGUCGAGCGGAGUGAUGGUGCUUGCACUAUCACUUAGCGGCGGACGGGUGAGUAAUGCUUAGGAAUCUGCCUAUUAGUGGGGGACAACAUCUCGAAAGGGAUGCUAAUACCGCAUACGUCCUACGGGAGAAAGCAGGGGAUCACUUGUGACCUUGCGCUAAUAGAUGAGCCUAAGUCGGAUUAGCUAGUUGGUGGGGUAAAGGCCUACCAAGGCGACGAUCUGUAGCGGGUCUGAGAGGAUGGUCCCCCACACUGGGACUGGGACACGGCCCGGCCUCCUACGGGGGGCAGCGGUGGGGAAUAUUGGACAAUGGGCGGAAGCCUGAUCCAGCCAUGCCGCGUGUGUGAAGAAGGCCUUUUGGUUGUAAAGCACUUUAAGCGAGGAGGAGGCUCUUAAGGUUAAUACCCUUGAUGAGUGGACGUUACUCGCAGAAUAAGCACCGGCUAACUCUGCGCCAGCAGCCGCAGUAACAC